CUUUUGCGUUAGGGAUUGAAACGGCACCCUUUUUGCUUUUUUGCAAAAAGAUAUAGUGUAAAGCCCGUUUAAAC
rnacentral:sRNA from 1 species